rnacentral:rRNA from 1 species
UUGGAGGGCAAGUCUGGUGCCAGCAGCCGCGGUAAUUCCAGCUCCAAUAGCGUAUAUUAAAGUUGUUGCAGUUAAAAAGCUCGUAGUUGAAUUUCGGGGUUAGUAGGUUGGUCAUGCCUCUGGUAUGUACUGGUCUCACUGAUUCCUCCUUCCUGAUGAACCUUAAUGCCAUUAAUUUGGUGUUUUGGGGAAUUUGGACUGUUACUUUGAAAAAAUUAGAGUGUUUAAAGCAAGCCAACGCUUGAAUACAUUAGCAUGGAAUAAUGAAAUAGGACGUUCGAUCCUAUUUUGUUGGUUUCUAGGAUUGACGUAAUGAUUAAUAGGGAUAGUUGGGGGCAUUAGUAUUCAAUUGUCAGAGGUGAAAUUCUUGGAUUUAUUGAAGACUAACUACUGCGAAAGCAUUUGCCAAGGAUGUUUUCAUUAAUCAAGAACGAAAGUUAGGGGAUCGAAGACGAUCAGAUACCGUCGUAGUCUUAACCAUAAACUAUGCCGACUAGGGAUCGGAUGAUGUUAAUUUUUUAAUGACUCAUUCGGCGCCUUACGGGAAACCAAAGUGUUUGGGUUC